GUUGAACGCUGGCGGCAUGCCUUACACAUGCAAGUCGAACGGCAGCACGGGGGCAACCCUGGUGGCGAGUGGCGAACGGGUGAGUAAUAUAUCGGAACGUACCCUGGAGUGGGGGAUAACGUAGCGAAAGUUACGCUAAUACCGCAUACGAUCUAAGGAUGAAAGUGGGGGAUCGCAAGACCUCAUGCUCCUGGAGCGGCCGAUAUCUGAUUAGCUAGUUGGUGGGGUAAAGGCCUACCAAGGCAUCGAUCAGUAGCUGGUCUGAGAGGACGACCAGCCACACUGGGACUGAGACACGGCCCAGACUCCUACGGGAGGCAGCAGUGGGGAAUUUUGGACAAUGGGGGCAACCCUGAUCCAGCAAUGCCGCGUGAGUGAAGAAGGCCUCGGUUGGUU
rnacentral:rRNA from 1 species